GGGGAAUCUUGGACAAUGGGCGCAAGCCUGAUCCAGCCAUGCCGCGUGAGUGAAGAAGGCCUUAGGGUUGUAAAGCUCUUUUGCCAGGGACGAUAAUGACGGUACCUGGAGAAUAAGCCCCGGCAAACUUCGUGCCAGCAGCCGCGGUAAUACGAAGGGGGCUAGCGUUGUUCGGAAUUACUGGGCGUAAAGCGCACGUAGGCGGGUUGUUAAGUCAGGGGUGAAAUCCCGGAGCUCAACUCCGGAACUGCCUUUGAUACUGGCAAUCUAGAGACUGGAAGAGGUUAGUGGAAUUCCCAGUGUAGAGGUGAAAUUCGUAGAUAUUGGGAAGAACACCAGUGGCGAAGGCGGCUAACUGGUCCAGUACUGACGCUGAGGUGCGAAAGCGUGGGGAGCAAAC
rnacentral:rRNA from 1 species